rnacentral:rRNA from 1 species
GGGUUGUGAGGUUAAGCGACUAAGCGUACACGGUGGAUGCCCUGGCAGUCAGAGGCGAUGAAGGGCGUGCUAAUCUGCGAUAAGCGCCGGUAAGGUGAUAUGAACCGUUAUAACCGGCGAUACCCGAAUGGGGAAACCCAGUGUGACUCGUCACACUAUCAUUAACUGAAUCCAUAGGUUAAUGAGGCGAACCGGGGGAACUGAAACAUCUAAGUACCCCGAGGAAAAGAAAUCAACCGAGAUUCCCCCAGUAGCGGCGAGCGAACGGGGAGGAGCCCAGAGCCUGAAUCAGCAUGUGUGUUAGUGGAAGCGUCUGGAAAGGCGCGCGAUACAGGGUGACAGCCCCGUACACAAAAGCGCAUGUGCUGUGAGCUCGAUGAGUAGGGCGGGACACGUGGUAUCCUGUCUGAAUAUGGGGGGACCAUCCUCCAAGGCUAAAUACUCCUGACUGACCGAUAGUGAACCAGUACCGUGAGGGAAAGGCGAAAAGAACCCCGGCGAGGGGAGUGAAAAAGAACCUGAAACCGUGUACGUACAAGCAGUGGGAGCACAGGUUUACCUGUGUGACUGCGUACCUUUUGUAUAAUGGGUCAGCGACUUAUAUUCUGUAGCAAGGUUAACCGAAUAGGGGAGCCGGAGGGAAACCGAGUCUUAAUUGGGCGUUAAGUUGCAGGGUAUAGACCCGAAACCCGGUGAUCUAGCCAUGGGCAGGUUGAAGGUUGGGUAACACUAACUGGAGGACCGAACCGACUAAUGUUGAAAAAUUAGCGGAUGACCUGUGGCUGGGGGUGAAAGGCCAAUCAAACCGGGAGAUAGCUGGUUCUCCCCGAAAGCUAUUUAGGUAGCGCCUCGUGAAUUCAUCUCCGGGGGUAGAGCACUGUUUCGGCUAGGGGGCCAUCCCGGCUUACCAACCCGAUGCAAACUGCGAAUACCGGAGAAUGUUAUCACGGGAGACACACGGCGGGUGCUAACGUCCGUCGUGAAGAGGGAAACAACCCAGACCGCCAGCUAAGGUCCCAAAGUCAUGGUUAAGUGGGAAACGAUGUGGGAAGGCCCAGACAGCCAGGAUGUUGGCUUAGAAGCAGCCAUCAUUUAAAGAAAGCGUAAUAGCUCACUGGUCGAGUCGGCCUGCGCGGAAGAUGUAACGGGGCUAAACCAUGCACCGAAGCUGCGGCAGCGACACUGU